rnacentral:rRNA from 1 species
AUUAAGUUUAAUUUAAUAUAGGAUCUGCUCAAUGAUUUAUUAAAUAGCUGCAGUAUUUUGACUGUGCAAAGGUAGCAUAAUAAUUAGUCUUUUAAUUGAGGACUUGUAUGAAAGAUUUGAUGAGAAAUAAACUUUAUUAUUUAUAUAAUUAAAAUUUUAUUUUUAAGUAAAAAAGCUUAAAUUAUUUAAAGGGACGAUAAGACCCUAUAAAACUUUAUAAAUGUUAAUUUUGAUUUUUUUGGAUUUAUAAAUAUUUCAUUUUUAUUAUUUAUUUUAUUGGGGUGAUAAAAAAAAUUAUUAAACUUUUUUUAAAAUUUUACAUUAUUUAAUGAAUCUUUGAAUUAAAAUUUUUAAUUAAAGGAAAAAGUUACUUUAGGGAUAACAGCGUAAUUAAUUUUUUAAGUUCAAAUUUAAAAAUUAGUUUGCGACCUCGAUGUUGAAUUAAGAUUAAUCUUAGGUGCAAAAUUUUAAGUAUUAGGUCUGUUCGACCUUUAAAUUCUUACGUGA